CCCCUAGAUGUUCUGGGCCGCACGCGCGCUACACUGAACAGUUCAACAAGUCUUAACCUUGGCCGAUAGGUCUGGGUAAUCUUUGAACGCUGUUCGUGAUUGGGAUAGACCUUUGCAAUUAUGGGUCUUCAACGAGGAAUUCCUAGUAAACGCAAGUCAUCAGCUUGCAUUGAUUACGUCCCUGCCCUUUGUACACACUGCCCGUCGCACCUACCGAUUGAAUGGUCCGGUGAAAUCUCGGGACGGCGGCUUGGUCGCUUGCGUCCGACUGCUGAAACUUGAUUAAACCAUAUCAUUUAGAGGAAGGUGAANUCGUAACA
rnacentral:rRNA from 1 species